UACGUAGGGUGCGAGCGUUGCCCGGAUUUAUUGGGCGUAAAGGGUUCGUAGGUGGGAAGGCAAGUCGAGUGUGAAAGCCCUGGGCUCAACUCAGGAAGUGCACCCGAUACUACGUGGCUCGAGUACCGGAGAGGUUGGUGGAAUUCUCGGUGUAGAGGUGAAAUUCGUAGAUAUCGAGAGGAACACCUGUGGCGAAGGCGGCCAACUGGACGAGUACUGACGCUGAGACACGAAAGCGUGGGGAGCAAACAGG
rnacentral:rRNA from 1 species